rnacentral:lncRNA from 1 species
CUCUCUCUCUCUUCUUCUUCUUCCUCCUUUUUUUUUUCUUGCUUUUUUUUUUGGGUUAAUUCUUGGUUUUUUUGUUUCAGUUUUUUUUGGCUUUUUUUUGCAAGUGCCCCCCUUCCUCUGGUUUGCUCUCUCCUCUUCUUUAAAAAUGGGGUUGUCCAAAAAUUUGGACAACCCGGUAAUGGGGUUCUGGCACCAAAGAGUUGGUAGCCAGAGCCCCAUUACUCAUGAUGGUUG